ACCAUAGACUGUACAUAUACUGGACAAUUCGAUUCCAUAGGCUUCAAUAACACGUUAUCUGUCCAUAAUGGGAGGUGUCCACCACCGCCAUUUUGACCGUGUCACAGGUUCCGUCCAGCCCAGACAAUUCCAUAAAAGGGAAGAGAGGAGGCGCUGAGGGUGGGGCUGUAAGGCUGGGCUCGAGUGACGACACCCAGGCGAACUAGCUACGAGCUAACCUGAAGCUAACCCUGGCUAACCCAAAGCUAAAGCGGAGGUGGGAGCCGAGCUAACGGAUGUAGCCACCUAGCUUCAACCCAACCGGAGCUAACUGGAACACCCAUCGACCUGAACCUCACACUGAGUUUAGGUGGAGGUUUUCUGCGCCUGUUCGUGAGAAGUACCUGUAUUAAAAAAGUUUUAAAUCGAUCUGUUUAAAUGUCACCAUGGCAGCCUGUGUGUCUCCAACAUCAGCUAUGCAAAGCAGCAAGUGUAAGUUCCACAUACCUGUCUCACCACUUCAUGUAUGGUUUUGUACUUUAAACAAUUAUGACAAACCUGUUAUUUUUUCUCCAUAGCCAUUUGGAUAAUUGGAGACAGCUACGUGAGGCGUGGUGCCCAGAGAGCUGCAGAGACAACCUUGGCCUCCCUGACGUCUGUGUCUCCUGGUUCGGUUGGGGUGGACCAUCGACAUACAUACAUGUGCCGACACUUUGCGCCCUGUUUUAUAAAAUGUAGUGUUAAAAAUAAAUGUUUUUGCUCAA